rnacentral:tRNA from 1 species
GAUUCGGAAGUUUAGUUAAACAUUUACUUUGAAAGUAAAAGAAGAGAGAUUUCUCCCUUAUCU